rnacentral:snRNA from 1 species
AUACUUACCUGGCAGGGGAGACACCAUGAACAAGAAGGUGGUUCACCCAGGGCGAGGCUAGGCCAUUGCAGUCCGGACGUGCUGACCUCUGCGAAUUCGAGAAGGGUGUUCCUGCACAACC